GUUCUUGGUGAAAGCUUGCGACUCAAUCGUGAGAAUUGCCAGGAAAACUACUUGACUUGGGACCGGAAGAGGUCGGAGGUAUUUCUUGGGUAGGGGUAAAAUCCUGUAAUCCUUGAAGGACCAUCGGUGGCGAAGGCGUCCGACUGGGACGGGUCCGACGGUGAGGCACGAAAGCUAGGGGAGCGACCCGGAUUAGAUACCCGGUUAGUCCUAGCCGUAAAUGAUGUCUGUUUGGUAUUGCGUGGCUUACGAGGCCCCGCAGUGCCGUAGGGAAGCCGUUAAACAGACCGCCUGGGAGUACGCCGCAAGGC
rnacentral:rRNA from 1 species